AGCUUAUGUUUGGAGAUGAGCCCGCGUACCAUUAGCUUGUUGGUAGGGUAACGGCCUACCAAGGCCACGAUGGUUAGCUGGUCUGAGAGGAUGAUCAGCCACACUGGGACUGACACACGGUCCAGACUCCUACGGGAGGCAGCAGUGAGGAAUUUUGCGCAAUGGGGGAAACCCUGACGCAGCAACGCCGCGUGAGUGAUGAAGGCCUUAGGGUCGUAAAGCUCUGUCAAGUGGGAAGAAACUGUAUAAUACCAAUAAUGUUAUACACUGACGGUACCACUAAAGGAAGCACCGGCUAACUCCGUGCCAGCAGCCGCGGUAAUACGGGGGGUGCAAGCGUUAUUCGGAAUCAUUGGGCGUAAAGAGCGCGUAGGCGGUCUCUUAAGUCAGGUGUGAAAGCCCGGGGCUUAACCCCGGAAGUGCAUUUGAAACUAAGGGACUUGAGUAUGGGAGAGGGAAGUGGAAUUCCUGGUGUAGAGGUGAAAUUCGUAGAUAUCAGGAGGAACACCGGUGGCGAAGGCGACUUCCUGGACCAAUACUGACGCUGAGGCGCGAAGGCGUGGGUAGCAAACAGGAUUAGAUACCCUGGUAGUCCACGCAGUAAACGGUGAACACUAGGUGUAGCGGGUAUUGACCCCUGCUGUGCCGCAGUUAACGCAUUAAGUGUUCCGCCUGGGGAGUACGACCGCAAGGUUAAAACUCAAAGGAAUUGACGGGGGCCCGCACAAGCGGUGGAGCAUGUGGUUUAAUUCGACGCAACGCGAAGAACCUUACCUGGAUUUGACAUCCCGGGAAUCUUAUGGAAACAUAAGAGUGCCCUUCGGGGAACCUGGUGACAGGUGCUGCAUGGCUGUCGUCAGCUCGUGUCGUGAGAUGUUGGGUUAAGUCCCGCAACGAGCGCAACCCUUAUCUUUAGUUACCAUCAUUCAGUUGGGGACUCUAAAGAUACUGCCCCGGUUAACGGGGAGGAAGGUGGGGAUGACGUCAAGUCCUCAUGGCCUUUAUGUCCAGGGCUACACACGUGCUACAAUGGGCUGUACAAAGGGUAGCGAACCCGCAAGGGCCAGCCAAUCCCAUAAAGCAGUUCGUAGUUCGGAUUGGAGUCUGCAACUCGACUCCAUGAAGCUGGAAUCGCUAGUAAUCGUGGAUCAGCAUGCCACGGUGAAUACGUUCCCGGGCCUUGUACACACCGCCCGUCACACCAUGAGAGUUGGUUGUACCAGAAGUUGUUGGGCAAAC
rnacentral:rRNA from 1 species